rnacentral:tRNA from 1 species
UUCUUGUUGGUAUAGUGGUAAGCAUCCCCACCUGUCAUGUGGGAGACCAGGGUUCGAUUCCCUGACGGGGAG